CCGGGGAGGGUGUGCAGGAUCUUUAUAAUGUGAGUGUGUGUGUCUGUGUGUGAGUCAUUACAUUCAGCUUCCAUUCGGCAGGCUGCAGGCUUCAGCAGGACAGAGAUGGCUACGCUAAACCAAGCCUGUGUUAAUGAGACAGCUCUGCAGGGAUGAGAAGAACACACACAGAGCAAGUUUGAAGACGUCUUCUGGCCUCCCAAAGGCUUUCAGUCGGUUUCUUCUAAGCAAGAAGGCAAAUACUGAAGAGCUUCUGAUGUUUUGCAAAUUCACCAGGUGGAGUAUCUGUCUGUCUGUCUGUCUUUGGGAUAUGCCAAAAGAUGACAACGACGAUGGAGCAGAAGAGCGUUUGACUUUCACCAGCGAGCCCCUCUGUUUGACAUCAUGUUUUCUUAAUGAGAGCCAGCUGCCCCCAACAUCAGCAUUCUCCUUCAUACCAGCAUGAAAAAACAUGAAAGUUAGAACUUUAAACAUGUCCAGAUUCCUUUGUACGCCACGGGCAGUAUUAGCCUGCUCGUCAGCAUUACAAUCAAUGGUGCCUGUGAUCAUCAAGGGUGGAAAUGAGCGCUUAGCCUUGGAGCACACGCACAGGAUGAAAUACUGCACAUUCAUUAUGUAAACAAUCUGGUUUGCUGAGCCAUGUGCAAGGUUUUUUCCCGGUGUACUGACACCGACAUCUUCAUAGACAAUAAAAAUGAAAUAAAAUAACUAAAUAAAUAAAUAAAUUUCCAGGUGCUAAUUAAUAUGCUGUUCUCAGAGGUUUAAAAGCUUUUGCUUCUAUGACCAGUCACUGCAGAUAUAAUUUGUUCUAUUAAAAUCUGUUUCAUGCUCCCUUUUCAGUCUCAUGCUGCUUUUAUGACUUAAUCAGGGGAGAAAAAAUUAAUAGAAUUGGUGACAAAUAUGUCAGUGCUACUAUCACAAAGAGUUGGCCACUGAUAGCUGCUAACUCCUUGUGGCAUCAGCAAGGUGCUGUAAACUUUCCUGUCUUCCAUGUCCAAUGUUGGUAAGCCUGUGCAAAUUCUAGAGAUAAUGUACUGUUCUCAGCUAACAGGGGUGGCACCUGGUGUGGUCUUCAGGCGCUGAAGCCCAUCGGCCUCAAUGUUAGACACAUUGUGCAUUCAGAGAUGCUUUUCUGUGUACCUUGCUUUCAAUGAGUGGUUAUUUGACUUACUGUUGCCUUUCUAUACACUCAAAGCAGUCUGGACAUUCUUCUUUGACCUCUGUUACCAACAAGGUCUUUUCACCUGCAGCUUACUGGACAUUUUCUGUAAACCCUAAAGAUGGUUUUGUGAGAAAAUCCCACCAGAUCAGCAGUUUCUGAAAUACUCCAGUAAGCCCAUCUGGCACCAACAACCAUAACAUGUUCAAAGUC